rnacentral:sRNA from 2 species
UUCGUCUGCGCGUCGAGAGGAUGAGAAUCUCCGAAGGAGGUUUGAGCCGAACGUAGUGAGACAACGUUGCUUUAGCAACGGCCCGCAGGGCAAGCAUCGAAGAUGCGCAUAAUCCUCUCAUGCCGACCA